rnacentral:lncRNA from 1 species
GUUUCAGAUAUGGCUCGAGGACAUCAGAAGAUUCAAUCACAACAAAAAAAUGCAAAGAAACAGGCCGAAGCAAAGAAGAAACAAGGACAUGAUCAGAAAGCAGCAGCCAAAGCUGCCCUAGUAUUCACCUGUUCGGUCUGUAGGGUAAGAGACCAUUGCUUUUUAAAGGGACACUAUAAGCACCAAAACAACUUUCGCUUCAUGAAGCAGUUUGUGUGUGUUUCUGCAGUCUCACUGCUCAGUUCUCUGCCAUUUAGGAGUUAAAUCACUUUAUAUAAUCCUAAAACAUAGGUGCCUGUAUUGCACAGUCUGUUUAAUCUAGAUUUUAGCUCCUACUCUAAGGGCAAAGAGCAUGUGAAACCUCUAAAGCAAGUUAACAUUUGAUAGAAUUUUUUAUUUUAUUUUUUUCAUGCAGGCUGUGUGGGUCCCAGCUAGGGAAGGUGUGGCUAGGGCUGCAUAAACAGGUGAUUUUACUUCUAAAUGGCAGGAAACUAAGCAUUGAGAAUCCAGGGGCAUGAUCCAUAAACAAAAAAUGCUUCAUUAAAGGGACACUCCAGACCCAAAUCACGUUGGCUUCUUGGAAAGCUUUGUGUGAAGAGUGUGCUUUUUAUUUUUUUGCAAAACGUGCAGAUUUCUAUAGAAAUUGACACUUUUAUAUAUUAACCUGGUUACACCCCUCCCCCCGACUUUCAAAUUGACAAAAGGUCCUGUUAUUUCCUGGUUUGCUCAGUGGAGCUAAACUAAAGAGGCAGCUAUUGCGCAGAGCACCUGCCUUGCAUAGAUUUCUCAUUUGAAGUCUGCAAUAAGAGACCCACAGAAAGUCUGGGUGGGGUCAGAGGAGGGUUUGAAAAGGAAAGGUUUUGCAAACCGUUUUUAAAUAUACCCCCUAAUGGAAAAAAUGAAUUAUUAAAUGACUAAGUUUUCAUUUGGGGUAUAUUGACUAAAUUGUGAUUUUUUUUUUUUUUGAUUUUUUUUUAAUUUAGCUUGUAUUUGGGCAUUGGGGUGUUCCUUUAAGAUAAACUCUUUUGAUGCCUAUAGUAUCUUUUUAAGAUUGCCCUUAAAGUGGCUCUGUCGAGGUCUGGGGUAUUUGCAUACAUUACCAAUAGUAACUGCUCUGCUUGGCAUCCGGUGGCUGUAUGGUACAGCGUAAAGAGAGGUAUCUGGUUUUGUGGUUUUUCUUUUUUCCUUUUCUCUUCUUUAUUACGCUUACCUGAACCUGUCCCUCGUGGCUGCUGCCGUGGUCUUCCUGCCAGUCAGUUUUAACUGACAGGAGCACAUGUUAAUGUUAAACUUUAGUGCAUGGGUUAACCCUGUUUUUAAGUCAAUGGAUGAGAUUGAGGUAUUUCCAUUGAAAGAGCCUUUCUAUGAGGGGAUAACUCUCCAAAUGUCUCUCACACAGCUGUGUAGCUUGAGUCACUAAAAAUGUACCAACUUACUAUAUAAAAUAUUAAAACUAUUUUAUGGUUAAAUUAAGAGCAAAAGUAUAAAGCCAAAUAGUUACUCUUUCAGGAUAGGGUCAUGUGUCUUUAAACAUAAAUAUCACUGUCCUCUUAAAGGAACAUGAUAGGUACAUAGACCACUUCAUUUUAAUAGUGCCAUGCCUCUGUUUUAGCCCUGCAACGGAAACCUAGCAGGAUUAACAUGCCACUAGUGGCUGUCUGACUCGCAGCCGCUAGAUGUUCCUCUGUCAAAGUAGCCGAGCUCAUUUGACUUGUGCAGUGUGGUGAUUUGUUAUGCAUGAACACUAGCCCCCCAGUGAUUUUCCUAUUAAGGGAGUUAUUUACUAGUGAUACUUAGAAUUAAAAAAAUAUUGUGACAGUGUUAGGCUUAAAAAAGUGCCCUGUAUGUCUUAUGUGUCCAAGGCUGUGUUAUUAGCCUGUGACGCUCAGACAUUCCAGAGAAUAUUCUGAGAAAUACAUGUACUUGUAUGCAGCAUUGUAAGAAUUGGUUUAUGGUGUAUCUGUUCUGUCUAUGGCAGGAAGCUGGGCAUACCUUGUAAAUCAAAAGGCCCCACCAGAGUGCCACAAGUACAUGCAUAUAGCACUUCUAAGCAAAUGCGGCACUAUUGAUGUUCAUUAUGUCUUAUAAUUUCUCUUACCGCUCAGGCUUUUCAGAAAUCAAACAUGGCAAUUCUUUAAACAAACAUUAUAUAAAGUAGUAGUCCGUGGUGAGCCUUUCCUCCCUCUUCUGUAAGUUUACCUCAUGCAUUUGUAUCUACAGACAAAUGUUCAUAACUUCUAUAACCAUGAAUAUUUUAAUUUUUUAAAUUUUUUGCAGACUCAGAUGCCAGACCCAAAAACAUUUAAACAGCACUUUGAGAGCAAGCAUCCGAAGGUCCCCCUCCCACCAGAGCUGGUUGGUGUGGAGGCGUAAACUGUCAGGUAAAGGCCUUGUGUAAUCAAAUUAUAGAAUUCGGGCAUGUUUUAUCAAAGCAGAAGUUUUGCAACUUUUCCAAGCAUUUGCUUUAUUCAGCCCUCCUCAUCACACACUCACACACCCAUUGUGACUCAUACAUGUGUAAAUUAAUCAUGGUGUCAAAUGUCUAGCUUUUUAUAAUAGCUAUUAUGACAGCUGUUCGAUUAGAUAAUUGCUAGAGUUUUCACUUCCUUAUAUUUUUAAGGUUAUUUGCAGCAAGCUGCUUGUUUUCUUAAGGCGUUUAGAGAGCUAGAAACCAAACAGCAGCAAACCAAUAUCUGAAUAACCGAAUUGUAGUAAAAUGGCAAUUAUGUGACUUGCAGAGUUGGAGUACUUGACCAAAAAGCAUAUUGGGAUGUUUCUUCUGCCUCCCCUCACCUUCAUCAAUUUUACUACUUGGAGUUUAUGCAAGAUAGUCUCCUGUAGUUUGCAUGCUACUUGUAGCUAUAUGAAGGAGUUUUCUAGUACUGCAGAUUAUGGGAUGUGCAAGGUGAAAUUGUGACCGAACUGCUAUUUAAAGAUUUUGGCAAACAAUGUUAAUUUUAUUUCUAUUCUAAUAUUUACUAAUUUGUUUUUGUUUUAUAUAUUUCAGAUUUCAUCUGAACAGACUGUUUUCUCCAUAUGAGCGAUAUUUUUUUUUUAUCAGACAGGGGCUCUAGAAACAUCCAUAUUUUUAUGCUGUUCCCUUCAUGUGGUUCAUACAAAAACCUAUGUAAAUGUACAGUUACUUACUAAUUUGUAAAUCGCAAGUCAGGCAAUUCACACAAAUUUUUACCGUUGUAAUUAUAUUAAUUUGAUGUCCAUAAUGUGUAUAAUUUGUUCAAUAAAAGUAGUACCUUGGUUUUAAAG